rnacentral:rRNA from 1 species
GACGAACCGUGCAAACGUUGUUCGGAUUCACUGGGCUUAAAGGGCGCGUAGGCGGGCCAGCAAGUCAGGGGUGAAAUCUUUCAGCUCAACUGGAAAAGUGCCUUUGAUACUGCUGGUCUCGAGGGAGGUAGGGGCGUGCGGAACUUCCGGUGGAGCGGUGAAAUGCGUAGAUAUACGGAAGGAACGCCGGUGGCGAAAGCGGCGCGCUGGACCUCUUCUGACGCUGAGGAGCGAAAGCGUGGGGAGCAAACAGG